rnacentral:rRNA from 1 species
AGGGUUUGAUCCUGGCUCAGGACGAACGCUGGCGGCGUGCUUAACACAUGCAAGUCGAACGGUAAGGCUCCAGCUUGCUGGGGUACACGAGUGGCGAACGGGUGAGUAACACGUGGGUGACCUGCCCUGCACUUCGGGAUAAGCCUGGGAAACUGGGUCUAAUACCGGAUAGGACCGCACUGUGAGGGUGUGGUGGAAAGUUUUUUCGGUGUGGGAUGGGCCCGCGGCCUAUCAGCUUGUUGGUGGGGUAAUGGCCUACCAAGGCGGCGACGGGUAGCCGGCCUGAGAGGGUGGACGGCCACAUUGGGACUGAGACACGGCCCAGACUCCUACGGGAGGCAGCAGUGGGGAAUUUUGCACAAUGGGGGAAACCCUGAUGCAGCGACGCCGCGUGAUUUAGAAGGCCUUCGGGUUGUAAAAAUCUUUUGUAUGGGAAGAAAAUGACAGUACCAUACGAAUAAGGACCGGCUAAUUACGUGCCAGCAGCCGCGGUAAUACGUAAGGUCCGAGCGUUGUCCGGAAUCAUUGGGCGUAAAGGGUACGUAGGCGGAUAAGCAAGUUAGAAGUGAAAUCCUAUAGCUCAACUAUAGUAAGCUUUUAAAACUGCUCAUCUUGAGGUAUGGAAGGGAAAGUGGAAUUCCUAGUGUAGCGGUGAAAUGCGCAGAUAUUAGGAGGAAUACCGGUGGCGAAGGCGACUUUCUGGCCAUAAACUGACGCUGAGGUACGAAAGCGUGGGUAGCAAACAGGAUUAGAUACCCUGGUAGUCCACGCCGUAAACGAUGAGUGUUAGGUGUCUGGAGUAAAUCUGGGUGCCGCAGCUAACGCAUUAAACACUCCGCCUGGGGAGUACGCACGCAAGUGUGAAACUCAAAGGAAUUGACGGGGACCCGCACAAGCAGCGGAGCAUGUGGUUUAAUUCGAUGCAACGCGAAGAACCUUACCAGGGCUUGACAUGUGGGUGAAAGGUAUAGAGAUAUACCCCUCUCUUUAUGAGACAUCCAUACAGGUGGUGCAUGGUUGUCGUCAGCUCGUGUCGUGAGAUGUUGGGUUAAGUCC